AACGAACGCUGGCGGCAGGCCUAACACAUGCAAGUCGAGCGCGCCCUUCGGGGUGAGCGGCGGACGGGUGAGUAACGCGUGGGAACGUGCCCUUCUCUGCGGAAUAGCCUCGGGAAACUGAGAGUAAUACCGCAUACGCCCUCUGGGGGAAAGAUUUAUCGGAGAAGGAUCGGCCCGCGUUGGAUUAGGUAGUUGGUGGGGUAAUGGCCCACCAAGCCGACGAUCCAUAGCUGGUCUGAGAGGAUGAUCAGCCACACUGGGACUGAGACACGGCCCAGACUCCUACGGGAGGCAGCAGUGGGGAAUCUUAGACAAUGGGGGCAACCCUGAUCUAGCCAUGCCGCGUGAGUGAUGAAGGCCUUAGGGUUGUAAAGCUCUUUCAGCUGGGAAGAUAAUGACGGUACCAGCAGAAGAAGCCCCGGCUAACUCCGUG
rnacentral:rRNA from 1 species